rnacentral:lncRNA from 1 species
ACAGGUCUACAAGGACACCUCGUCCUAAUUAUCGGUUACCUCGUGAUCUUAAAACAUGAAUUUGAAAAUGGUGAGUAUAAACUCAGUCAGUGAAUAAGGAGGGGAACAAGCAACAAUUAGGAAAAAUUUAAAAUCAUGAUGAAGUUGUUUCAAAAUAAUGCAAUUUAGUUCAUUCCUAUUUAAAACCCCUCCAAACCCCAGAGUUUUUCGCUACAGUGAGCAUGAAUUUCGCUGCAGUGAAAACAGAGCAACAAGAGAACCAUUUUUCCUCACUCAACAAAAAACCAUCCUGCUAAACUAAAAAAAUGAACCUAAAAUUCAUGAAAAUUCUCAAAGUACAAUGUGUCAACUUUCAUGUACAUUACAACCAUAAAUCAUUGUCCAUCAAUUUGCUAUAUCACACAUAUUUACAUAUGUAUAUGUAUAUAUAUAUAUAUAUGUAUAUACCCAUCAUCAUCAUCUCACCAACCCAUUAUCAUCAUCACCAGCUCAUCAUCAUCAUCACCAACUCAUGCGCACUCCCUACUCGCACAUAACCGGGUCAUCCUCGGCUUAUGCGCACUCCCUACUCGCACAUAGUCGAGUCAUCAUAAUUACACAACAUUAUAUUCAAGCAUAUAUGUAUAUCAACAUAAUGCAACCACAUAGAAAUCCAUAAUAACCACAUUUCAUAACAUAAACUUUUUCUCAAACGCUUGUUCCCAAGGCAUUCAUUUUCAUGAAAAUUUUUUUUCAUAAAAUCAUUCAAACACUUUGUUCAAAACAGUCAUAUUCCCAAAAUAAUUUUGAUAGGCAGUCCACUCACAGGUGUCAAAAAUUCAGAUUUCGGGUGAACUCAGACUAAUAGUCCUCAAGCGCAAUUCCUUUGCCUUUUCCGGAUGUCUCACCACCUUGACAAAUAACAAAGUCGAGGAAUUUACUAUAUUGUCCCUAAAUUGAUAUAAAUUAAUUUAAAUUACUAAUGCUUGAUAUGUAAAUGCAAAAAUACGUCCGAUUACCGUUUAAUCAUGGUAUCGAUUAAAUUCGACCGAUCACCCGAUUAAUCGGCGAUUGUGUCCAAAUCACCUCCAAAUUAAUCCAUUUCUCCUCUAAUAACUUAAUUUACCACAUACAUUUAAAUAAAGCCAAAUUCAGCAUUAGAACCCUCACAGUUCCUUAUAGAAAAAUUUAGUCAUUUGGUGCACUAGCAUCGAAUUUUUUUCUACAUAACCGUUUCACCUUAAUUCAUCAUUUUCCAUGCCAUUUUCCUUGAAAUAAAAACAAUCCCCCAUUGAUAUUCAGCCCUCAUGGUUCGGCCAACAAGGAACCCUAGAGAAAUUGAAUAUUUCUUUUGUGUUUUUGUUCAUAACCAUGCUUAACUAUCCCUAAACACUAACAUAGUCUAAAAUCAAAUUAUUCCAACAACAAUUCCUCUUCCAUACCCAUUUUUCAGAAUUGAAUUCAUCAUGAUAACUCAAUAUUCAACCAUGGAAAUCAAGAACAAAAGCAUGGGUAAGCUAGGUAUCAAGGAGAAUUAAAGAAAUUUUAACUUACCUAGCUUGUUUCCUUGAUUUCUUCACUUUUUCUUUGAAUUUCCACCUAGGUUUUCUUGUUUUUCCUUUUGUUCUUCCUUUUUUCUUGUUGCUGGAUGUCUAGGCCGAAUAUGGUGAGGGAAUUGGGGAUUUAAUGGGCUGAUUUCUAUAGAAAAUAAUAAAAUAAUCAAGCAUGCCAUGUGUCACAUGCUUAUUGGCCUAAUUUUUAACUUUUUGACUUUUUCUUCUUAAUUUUCCACCACAAAUAUUCUGGUAUUUAUCCAAUCCUACCACAAUUAAAAUCCCUUGGUCUUGACAAGUGCUGGGCCGAAAAUUUUACUGAUUUGCCCCCGAGACAAAAAAAUUACGAUUUUGCCCUUAUACUCCGAAAUGUACCGGAAUCUCAUUGUUUCUACUUUUCAACCUAAAAUAACACUAAUAUUGAUCAAUAUUAACCAAAUGGGGCAAAAAUUUUUUAAAAAAAUUUUCGUUUAGUCCUCUAGUGGCAAAAUUACCAUUUUGCCCUUCUGCUCCAUAAAUACCGGGAAUCACAAUUUUUCACUACUAAACAUCAUUUUAUACUCCAAUAAUCAUAAUUAUAUUUCAUAUAAUUAUUCUUGGUCAAAUGUGAUCAAAUCUUGGCUAAAAAUCUCCAUUUUAUCAUCAAAUGGUAAAAUGACCGUUUUGUCCCUAAUUGGUCAAUUUUCUGAUGGACUCCAAACUGGACCUUGAACUCCAAAUCACUAUUCUAAGCCAUUCUGUUGGUUUUAAAAUUUUCAAAUUCCUCUUAGAAUUUCUAUUUGAACUAGUUCAAGGCUCGAUUUAACUUAGUUGUACCACUCGGUACAAUACCGUCUUUUAAUCGAGCUUGACAGGGUCUCACAUUCUCCCCCACUAAUAAAAAUUCGGUCCCCGAAUUUAAAUUCAAUGUAGAGUGGCUUACCUUUACAUAUCGAAGAGGUGUGGAUGCUUUGUCCGCAUCUCAUCCUCAGCUUCCCACGUUACCUCCUCGCUAGUGUGAUUCCGCCACAACACUUUCACUGAGGCUACAUCCUUUGAACGGAGCUUUUUAACUUGCCUAUCAAGGAUAGCUACCGGUUGUUCCUCAUAGGUUAGAUCAUUUUGCAACUGAAUAGUUUCAUACCGUAUUACAUGUGAUGGAUCUGGGUUGUACUUCCUAAGCAUGGACACAUGAAACACGGGAUGAAUAUUAGAAAGGUCUGGCGGUAAUGCCAAACGAUAAGCCACCGCUCCAACCUUUUCUAAGAUCUCGAAUGGCCCUAUAUACCGAGGACUUAACUUCCCUUUCUUGCCAAACCUCAUUACCCCUUUAGUUGGCGAAACUUUCAAAAAUACAUGAUCUCCUACUUGGAACUCCAAGUCUCUCCGUCGGUUAUCAGCAUAUGAUUUCUGUCUACUUUGUGCUGUUAACAUCCUCUGACGGAUCAUGUGUAUUUUCUCGGUUGCAUCCUGCACCAAUUCAGGCCCCAAAAGUUUCCUUUCUCCCACCUCUAGCCAUCCAAUGGGUGACCUACAUCUUCGUCCAUAUAAGGCCUCAAAUGGUGCCAUUUGGAUGCUAGUUUGGAAACUGUUGUUGUAGGCAAAUUCCACUAAGGGUAGAUAUUGUUCCCACCUGACACCAAGGUCUAUCACACAAGCCCUCAACAUAUCCUCCAAUGUCUGUAUGGUCCGUUCAGAUUGUCCAUCAGUCUGAGGGUGGAAAGCUGUGCUGAAAUCCAACUUAGUGCCCAAUGCUUCUUGCAACUUUCCCCAAAACCUACUAGUAAACUGAGCUCCUCUGUCAGAUACUAUAGAAAUGGGAAUACCAUGUAGUCGCACUAUCUCAUCCACAUAAACUCGAGCAUAUUGGGCAGCCCCAUAAGUAGUCUUAACCGGAAGAAAAUGAGCUGACUUUGUUAACCGGUCCACUACUAUCCAAAUUGAAUCAUAUCCCCCACUGGUUCGAGGCAAACCCGUUACAAAGUCCAUAGCAAUAUGUUCCCACUUCCACUCGGGUACUGGUAAUGGCUGUAGUAGCCCUGCAGGCUUUUGAUGCUCGGCCUUAACCUGCUGACAAACCAGGCACUUGGAGACAAACUCAGCUACAUCUCUCUUAAGUCCUUCCCACCAAUACACCUCUUUCAAAUCUUGAUACAUCUUUGUAGCCCCUGGAUGUACCACAUAAGCUGCCAUGUGAGCUUCCUCCAAUAUUUCUCUCCUCAACCCGUCACCAUCAGGCACAUAAAGUCUGGUUCCAUACCUCAACACUCCAUCUGUGCCUUUAGUAAACAUUUUUCCUUUCCUACCCUGAGGAUCCUCUAAGGCCUUAGUCACAAACUCAUCUUUACUUUGUGCUUCUUUAAUCCUGUCCAUUAAAAUAGGCCUCACUCUAAAGUGUGCUAGCAAAGCAUUUGUCUCCGCAACUUCCAAACGCACACCUAUGUCUCCCAAGCUAUGGAUCUCUCUAACCAAGGAUCUCCUACCAGUGGAAAUAUGUGCCAAGCUUCCCAUUGAUUUUCGACUCAAGGCAUCCGCCACUACAUUGGCCUUACCGGGAUGAUAAAGAAUAGUACAAUCAUAAUCCUUUAGCAACUCCAUCCAUCUACGUUGCCGUAAGUUAAGAUCCCUCUACUGAAAUAUAUACUUCAGACUUUUGUGGUCUGUGUAUAUCUCGCAAGUCUCACCAUACAAGUAAUGUCUCCAAAUCUUUAAGGCAAACACGAUUGUUGCCAUUUCCAAAUCGUGUAUGGGGUAAUUCUGCUCAUGCCUUUUAAGUUGCCUAGAUGCAUACGCAAUCACCUUCCCAUGUUGCAUUAAUACACAUCCUAAACCAACCCCCGAUGCAUCACAAAACACCGUGUAACCCCUUGUGCCUUGCGAUAGGCUUAACAUUGGAGCUGUGGUGAGACAUGCCUUAAGCUUCUGAAAACUAUUCUCACAAGCAUCAGAUCACUCAAAUUUUGUAUCUUUACGUGUCAGCUUAGUCAAAGGGGCAACUAUUUUGGAGAAGUUCUUCACAAAGCGAUGAUAAUAGCCAGCUAAACCCACAAACCUUCUAAUCUCCAUAACUGAUGUUGGCCUUGGCCAUUUUUCCACUUCUUCAAUUUUCUUUGAAUCAACUUGUAUCCCAUCCUUAGAUACCACAUGCCCCAAGAAUGGAACACUUUCGAGCCAAAACUCACACUUGGAGAACUUAGCAUGCAAUUGAUGUUCUCUCAAAAUUUGGAGCACUAUCUUAAGAUGCUGCUCAUGCUCCUCUUGACUCUUUGAAUAUAUCAAAAUGUCAUCAAUAAACACCACCACAAACUUAUCCAAAUAAGGUUUGAACACUCGGUUCAUCAAAUCCAUAAAGGCUGCAGGAGCAUUCGUGAGCCCAAAUGACAUCACUAAGAAUUCAUAGUGCCCAUAUCUUGUUAGAAAUGCAGUCUUGGGUAUAUCUUCAUUUCGGAUUCUCAACUGAUGGUACCCAGAUCGUAGAUCUAUCUUAGAAAAACAUUGUGUUCUUUGUAGUUGAUCAAAUAAAUCAUCUAUCCUUGGGAGAGGAUACUUAUUCUUCACCGUCACUUUAUUAAGCUGUCGAUAAUCAAUGCACAGCCUAAGUGACCCAUCUUUUGUCUUCACAAAUAACACUGGUGCUCCCCAUGAGGCUACACUAGGUCGGAUGAAACCUUUAUCCAACAAAUCCUCCAACUGAUCCUUAAGUUCUUUAAGCUCUGCAGGUGCCAUUCUAUAUAGGGGUAUGGAUAUAGGUCUAGUGUCGGGAAUCAAAUCUAUGCAAAACUCAAUCUCCCGUUCAGGAGGCAAACCUGGUAGCUCCUCAGGAAAUACAUCCACGAACUCCUUCACCACCGACACUUGAGUUACAUCUCCAAUCUUCGCCUGAGUAUCCUUUACAACAGCCAAGUAACCUAUACAACCUUGUCGUAAUAAUCUUCUGGCAGAUAUGACUGAUAUCAAAUUGGUUGGAGCAUUACUCCUAUCCCCCUGAAUACUAAAUGAUGGUUCACCGGGGGAAUAAAAUCUAACCAAUUUAUGAUAGUAGUCCACACUAGCAUGGCAGGGUGAUAACCAAUCCAUCCCCAAGAUUACAUCAAAUUCUAAGGUGUCUAGCACCACUGGAUUCACAGAAGUGUCUUUGUCCUUGACUCGCACUACACAGGACUCAUAUUCCCACUCGACCACAAAUAUCUCAUUUAAAGGAGUAGACACCACUAAUUGUUCCUCUCUCCUAACACGAUCUCUACCCAACCGAGAUGCAAAACAUGGAGAGAUAAAAGAAUGGGUAGCACCAGGAUCAAAUAGUACCCGAGCAUUCAUAUUACAAACGGAGAGAAUACCUGAGACCACGGCAUUGGAUGUUUGAGCCUCCUGCUGUGUUAAAGCAAACACCCUCGCCUGGCCUCUACCAACAGAACUUUGAUGUUCGGACCCAGAUGGUCUGCCCUGAGAGGAAGUACCAGCACCUCUACCUCUGGAUCCACUAACCUCCCGACCAGAUGAGACAGCAACUGAAGGAGCAGAUGAAGCUGGCUGGGUGGAACCACGAGCAGAAUCUGGUGAUUGAUGUGCCAUCGGACAAUCCCUCCUAAUAUGCCCAGGUUGACCGCACCCGUAACAAGUUAUUGUAGUAAGGAAACACCGUCCACUAUGUCGUCUCCCACAAGUAUCACAAUAGCGAGCGACUUGACUACUCUGUCUAGAAUCUUGCUGCCUCUUAGAACUGAAGAUUCUCUGUUCCACCCUAAUAUUAGCACCAGGCGCGUCACUCCCCUGCUGAGGUAACCGUGAGUCCCUCUGUGGACCCUGACGGCUAGAAGAUGAACCACCACUGUUGAAAUCUCUACGGCCCUGAUAACCCUCUGUCUUGCCUUUUUUUGCUCUAUCUCUCGCAGCCUUACGCUCACUGGUCCUCAUCUUGAUGCGUUGAGCAUGAUCCACUGCUGCAGAAUAGGUAGUGAAAUCUCGAGAUGCCACAACCCUAAAUAAUUGCUCUACUAACCCAUCCAUAAACCUCUGAAUCUUCAUCUCCUCAGUAGAAACGAGAUAGGGUGCAUAACGAGCUAGUUGCGUGAACUUGAUGUCAUACUCAGACACCGUCAUGCUUGAAGUCUGUACUAAAGUCUCAAACUCUCUGGCUCUGGAAUUACGCACACUGAGUGGUAAGAAUCGAUCAAAGAAGGCUGCACUGAACUCACUCUAGGCCAACGAUGUUGCAUCAGUUGGUCUGCCUCUACAUAAAGAGCUAUACCAUUCUUGAGCCACUUCCUCUAAUUGGAAGGCGGCUAGCUCAACUGACCGAACACUAGAACAUCCCAAGGCUUUACAAAUUUUCUCCAUCUUAUCCAAGAAAACCUAGGGUUUCUCCGAUGCAUCAGACCCUGAAAAUGUUGGAGGCUUAAGCUUGAGGAAGUCAGGAAGAGAAAUAUCUAGAUGUCCCCUCUCGACCUCAUGAUGUUGGCGAUCGGCCUGUCCUUGGGAGCUAGGGGAUUCUUAUACUGUAGGUCUCCCCUCUACUACCCUUUGUAUAUCUUCCGUGCGGGUCGCCAUCAUCUCUACAACCCGGUUAACUCCCUGUAGGCCUAUCGCCAAAUCCUCAAUAGUAAUACCCCUAGCUGGGUGUCUAUCUACAUCACUUGAGGACUGUCCCUCUUCUUGCCUACUCACAAGCAUAUCCGACCUCACCGGCCUAGUGACCCUGCCACGUCUACCUUGGCCUCUCCGAGUGGAUGCCCGUGGUCUAUCUGCCAUCUCAAUGGGAGCAUCUUGCUCCCUUGCCCGUCUUGAGGCGGCUCGUGUUUUAGGCGGCAUUCUUACCUAGACAACAGCAAACACCUGUUAUUAAACACAUAUUAUAAUCAUACUUAAGGCAAAAGGUGGUUUCUAAGAUAGGGAAUCUAUGCGGUCAUUUGGUUGUAAAAUAUUCCGCGGUUCACACAUUACAACUGAAGUUCCCACAUAAAGACCCGACUUUUCACUGGACUAACAAAAAGAAAGUUCUAGGACCUAGACAAACCUAAAGCUCUGAUACCAACAUUGUCAUGACCCAAAAUUUGGGUCAUGACCGACGCAUGGGUCUAAUGGACGUAAUCUACUAAACCCAAGUAAGCCUAUUAUUUAUCUUACUUAUGAUUCUAUUUAUUAUCACUAAGUCCUAUUUCAUGACUUUGAAUCAAAAUAGUGAUAUACAUUGCCAACUCGUACUGGCAUUACUCUUUUAAAAUUUACAUUAAGUUCAUCUAUACAUAACAAAAUAAUACUCGACUUCCAGCGGAGUGACUCGGAUGAAUAUACAGCUACGAAAUACCGAGACACUUACCAAAAGAUGGACACAGGUCUACAAGGACAUCUCGUCCUAAUUAUCGGCUGCCUCGUGAUCUGAAAACAUGAAUUUGAAAAUGGUGAGUAUAAACCUAGUGAGUGAACAAGGAAGGGAACAAGCAACAAUUAGGGAGAAUUUAAAAUCAUGAUGCACUUGUUUCAAAACAAUACAAUUUAGUUCAUUCCUAUUUAAAACCCCUCCAAACCCGAGAGUUUCUCGCUACAGCGAGCAUGAAUUUCGCUGCAAUGAAAACAGAGCAACAAGAGAAACAUUUUUUCUCACUCAACAAAAAGCCAUCCUGCUAAACUAAUAAAAUCAACAUAAAAUUCAUGAAAAUUCUCAAAGUAUAAUGUGUCAAAUUUCACGUACAUUACAACCAUAAAUCAUUGUCCAUCAAUUUGCUAUAACACACACAUUUACAUAUGUAUAUAUAUAUAUAUAUAUAUAUAUAUAUAUAUACGUAUAUACCCAUCAUCAUCAUCUCACCAACCCAUCAUCAUCAUCACCAGCUCAUCAUCAUCAUCACCAGCUCAUGCGCACUCCCUACUCGCACAUGGCUGGGUCAUCACCGGGUUAUGCGCACUCCCUACUCGCACAUAACCGGGUCAUCCUCGGCUUAUGCGCACUCCCUACUCGCACAUAGCCGAGUCAACAUAAUUACACAACAUUAUAUUCAAGCAUAUAUGUAUAUCAACAUAAUGCAGCCACAUAGAAAUCCAUAAUAACCACAUUUCAUAACAUAAACCUUUUCUCAAAAGCUUGUUCCCAAGGCAUUCAUUUUCAUGAAAAAUUGCAUAAAAUCAUUCAAACACUUUGUUCAAAACAGUCAUAUUCCCAAAACAAUUUUGAUAGGCAGUCCACUCACAGGUGUCGAAAAUCCGGAUUCCGGGUGAACUCUGACUAAUAGUCCUCAAGCGCAAUUCCUUUGCCUUUUCCGGACGUCUCACCACCUUGACAAAUAACAAAGUCGAGGAAUUUACUAUAUUGUCCCUAAAUUGAUAUAAAUUAAUUUAAAUUACUAAUGCUUGAUAUGUAAAUGCAAAAAUAUGUCCGAUUACCGCUUAAUCACGGUAUCGAUUAAAUUCGACCGAUCACCCGAUUAAUCGGCGAUUGUGUCCAAAUCACCUCCAAAUUAAUUCAUUUCUCCUCUAAUACCUUAAUUUACCACAUACAUUUAAAUAAAGCCAAAUUCAGCAUUAGAACCCUCACAAUUCCUUAUAGAAAAAAUUUGGUCAUUUGGUGCACUAGCAUCGAAUUUUUUUCUACAUAACCGUUUCACCUUAAUUCAUCAUUUUCCAAGCCAUUUUCCUUGAAAUAAAAACAAUCCCCCAUUGAUAUUCAGCCCUCAUGGUUCGACCAACAAGGAACCCUAGAGAAAUUGAAUAUUUCUUUUGUGUUUUUGUUCAUAACCAUGCUUAACUAUCCCUAAACACUAACAUAGUCUAAAAUCAAAUUAUUCCAACAACAAUUCCUCUUCCAUACCCAUUUUUCAGAAUUGAAUUCAUCAUGAUAACUCAAUAUUCAACCAUGGAAAUCAAGAACAAAAGCAUGGGUAAGCUAGGUAUCAAGGAGAAUUAAAGAAAUUUUAACUUACCUAGCUUGUUUCCUUGAUUUCUUCACUUUUUCUUUGAAUUUUCACCUAGGUUUUCUUGUUUUUCCUUUUGUUCUUCCUUUUUU